AUUGAACGCUGGCGGCAGGCCUAACACAUGCAAGUCGAGCGGAUGAAGGGGGCUUGCUCCUGGAUUCAGCGGCGGACGGGUGAGUAAUGCCUAGGAAUCUGCCUGGUAGUGGGGGAUAACGUCCGGAAACGGGCGCUAAUACCGCAUACGUCCUGAGGGAGAAAGUGGGGGAUCUUCGGACCUCACGCUAUCAGAUGAGCCUAGGUCGGAUUAGCUAGUUGGUGGGGUAAAGGCCUACCAAGGCGACGAUCCGUAACUGGUCUGAGAGGAUGAUCAGUCACACUGGAACUGAGACACGGUCCAGACUCCUACGGGAGGCAGCAGUGGGGAAUAUUGGACAAUGGGCGAAAGCCUGAUCCAGCCAUGCCGCGUGUGUGAAGAAGGUCUUCGGAUUGUAAAGCACUUUAAGUUGGGGGGAAGGGCAGUAAGUUAAUACCUUGCUGUUUUGACGUUACCAACAGAAUAAGCACCGGCUAACUUCGUG
rnacentral:rRNA from 1 species